GCACUUUGUUUCUUAGUUCGAUUCUUAAACGUAAAUAAAUUUAACUUGUCAAAGUGCCUACAGCUCUGUCAGUGUCAUUUAGAAACUAGAGGAAAGUUGUAAGUUUUUCUGAGCUUUGUGAGGAAAGUGGUUGRAAACUUUUUCUCUAACGUGAAUGCCCUUUCUGUCUGUCUUGCYUCUCCCUGCUUUUCCAUACUGAGUGUGCUCUUAAAGAGGAGACGUCUCAAGCAGUCCAGCCUGUCAUGAGAAAACCAGCAGAGGGAGUCCAAAGCUUAAAUCCUGUUAGGGCUGUARGUAUCACACAGAGAAACAGGACCACCCCUAUCGACAUAAACGGAAAAAAAGAAGAUUUAAAAUGUUCUAAUUUCUGUUAUUUGAGUGAGAUAAAGGACAUGGAAGUGCUACAACUAAACAAAAGAAGAAGAACGGUCAAAUAAAAAGCAUAGAAGAGCUGCAGAUCCUGGAUGUCCAAGCAGGCCAAUGAAAACUCACCACAAAUGCAUUGUUUCAGGAGCGGCAGCUUUGGAAACAAGCGUCGAGGACGCUGCACGUGUCACAAUCCACCCUGUGUGUAACUGUACAGCAGAAAAACUGUUCUCCAGGUAAUAACAGAUGUAAAACGUGUGAUCUGUCACAGACAGUGGGGCAAAAGUAAUUCCUGUGACUGCGGUAAUCAUCUCUCACUGCCGUCGUGGCAAAUCUUGUAUUACCUCACCGCUCCCCGUGGAGACGUGUCAGAGGGAGUUAUUCCUUUAAUUCUUGCUGUCUGUUUGGCUUUCAACGUUUUAACUUUCUCUGGCAGUCACGUCUUAUCUAGUUUGCUGUACAUCUUGCGUAUAAAUGGCUAAUGUAAGCUUAUGGCCUGAGAGCAGCAGGGCUUGAUUUUUUUUUUACAUGAACCAGUGUUUCUUUGAUUUUCUCGCUCUAAGAUGAAAAACACGAUCAUCUAAAUAAAAGGCAUAUGGCUACUGGCAAAAUAGUUUGUUGAUUCAGGGAGCCAUCUGAUUCAUUGUUUAUGUAAAAGCAAAAAUAUUGCUUAAUGCAACUUUAAUGAUG